GUCUUUGUGGUGUAGCGGUAGCACGCGCCCCCUGUAUAGGUGAAAUACGAGUUCAACUCCCGCCUAAGGUC